AUCUUUCUAGUAUAAGCAAUAUAAGUGACUUCCAAUCACCCGAUCUUGGUUAGAAUCCAAGGAAAGAUA
rnacentral:tRNA from 1 species